rnacentral:rRNA from 1 species
ACAACUUUCAACAACGGAUCUCUUGGUUCUCGCAUCGAUAAAAAACGCACCGAAAUGUGAUAAGUAAUGUGAAUUGCAAAAUUCAGUGAAUCAUCGAAUCUUUGAACGCAUCUGGCGCUCCUUGGUAUUCCGAGGAGCAUGCCUGUUUGAAAGUCAUUAAA